rnacentral:pre_miRNA from 1 species
UCGGUGACGUCUUCCGCAUCAAAAUUGGCCACCUCCCAAUUAAAACUUAGAGUUUGAGAUGCUCAAAUCCUAGUUUGAACUGGGAUUGGGCGAAUUUUGGUCGAGAUUGA